CAUGUCGGUAAAGUAGUGUCAAUCAAACGUUAUAGAAAGAUUGCUGACGGUGACUAAUGAAAAAGCGAUCCAAAAAGUGUAGGUGAAAAUUAUAAAGCCACAAAUUGUAAUUUAAUUACAAGAAAUACGUAUUAAAAUAUUUAGAAAAAAGUUACUUCAACAGCCAAAAUAAUAGAGUGAGAAUAGUUUACUAACAGUGCAUUGAAAAUUAAAAACCCAACCCAAAGCAAAGAGGUCAGCAGUGAGAAAAAAAGAAAGCAACUACGCCAACGUCGACGAAGAUAAGUGCAAGAAGGAUAAGUAAAGGAGUGAACUAUAAGCAACAUUUUAAGAAAGGGCCGUAAAGCUUAUAUUUAAAAAAUGUCAUCCGGCGAGUUUGGUAAUCCCCUGCGCAAAUUUAAGCUUGUGUUCCUUGGCGAGCAGAGUGUCGGUAAGACUUCGCUGAUCACACGCUUCAUGUACGAUAGCUUCGACAAUACUUAUCAGGCGACAAUUGGUAUUGAUUUUCUUUCGAAAACUAUGUACCUUGAAGAUCGAACCGUGCGACUACAAUUAUGGGAUACUGCCGGCCAAGAACGCUUUCGUUCACUUAUCCCCUCAUAUAUUCGCGACUCUACUGUAGCCGUUGUUGUCUACGAUAUAACAAAUACAAAUUCUUUCCACCAAACCUCCAAAUGGAUUGAUGACGUUCGCACGGAACGAGGUAGUGACGUCAUUAUCAUGUUAGUAGGCAACAAGACAGACUUAUCGGACAAACGACAGGUGUCCACCGAAGAGGGUGAACGCAAAGCUAAAGAGCUGAAUGUGAUGUUUAUCGAAACGAGUGCGAAGGCCGGUUAUAAUGUGAAGCAGCUGUUUAGACGUGUAGCGGCUGCGUUGCCUGGAAUGGAUUCGACAGAAAAUAAACCCUCGGAAGAUAUGCAAGAGGUUGUACUGAAAGAUUCACCAAAUGAAUCAAAGGAUCCCGAGGGUGGUUGUGCCUGCUGAAGAAUCAACGAAUAUAGUGAACGAUCUAAAAAAAUAUUAAAAACAAUUAUAUAAUUAUAGCAGUCUAGAGCACUGAAUGGUAAUUUAACAGUAUGAAGAUGACGAUGUAGAAAAGUAUAAAAAGGCUUAAGAAGAGAUACACAAUUUUAUGUUUAAGUUUAUUUAUAACGUAAAUAAAACUAAAAUCGAUUAACUGAAUAAUCAAUUGAUCUUUAUGAUGGAUAGUAGGCGCAUAAAAGCAUUUAAUAUAUAUGAUUAAUUAUGAUAUCAUAAUAUUACAACUAGUACUGAAACGGUCUGAACAACAAAUGCUGAAUUAGAAGCUGAAAUUGUUAAGCAUUUUCAGCGAAGAACGAUUGGUAGUUGGUGGGAUUAGCUGAUAGUUUUGUGCUUACAAAGUAAAAGCACCAUUAAUACAACUAAGCAUUUGAAUAAGUGUGAAUCAUAAAAUUUCAUAAAUACACAUUUAUGUAGCUUAAAAUAUUGUGAAAUUAUCAUAAAAAUGCCAGCCUACUUAAAAACAUAAUAUGCAAAUGCACCUGACACUUAUGUAUGUAGCAUAUAAAAUUGCUAGAAAUUUAAGAGCCAUAGCGCUCAAGUACACCUACUUGAAAUGCAUUUGCAACUUCCAGAGAUACAAUUUUGCCGAGUGUGUAUUUUUAAGAGAAUUAUUUAACUUUUGUAUUUCAUUGCACAGACUUCGUUUUAUGCUAAACGCACGAUUUGUAAACUUUAAAAAUCUUUGUUUUAAUAUCUGCCUAGCUAAAAUUAUGAAUAAUCUUUCAAUCCUAAUCUCUAUAACUAUACUUAUAUGUUAUUGUCAUAUACAUAUAAUUUGAACUUGGCUUGGGUAAAAUGAAAAAGCGAAAUGAUGUGCACAAAUGGUACGCAAAUAAUAUUUAGUUAAUAAUAAGAAUCAGCUGAAUUUGACAAGUUGUGCAAAUAUAAAGUAUAUACAAAUGAUGAUGCAUGCAUAUGAACUUUAUUGAGUUGAAAAAUAUGUAAUUUGUUUUUUUAUUCGAUAUUGUUUACGAAGAUUACAUAAUUGAGUUUAGCUAUGUACAUACAUGAAUACAUAUUGGUAUAGUCCGCUAAUUUUUUACAAUCGAUGCAUAGAUAUUUGACUUGGAGGCGCUUAUUUACAAUACUAUUUUAUACACAUAACUUUUAAAAUUGCUUAACAUUCCUGUUUAUUUUAUUGUGUUACUAUCUAAUUUGUAUUGAUGUAAACCAUUAUUGUCUUUUAAUACUCAUUUGAGUUAUUUACUUAACUUCUUAUAGAAAAAUAAUUGAACAGUUUUACAUGUGCUAAUUGAGCUUCAAAGAUGGUAGAACCACAAUUUACAAAAUUUUAUAUACAUACCUAACCGCUCAUAAAAUAUAUUAAAUGCUCGUUGCGUUGAUUUUUGUCAAACUCGGAUUCAUAGUUUCGGUUCCUCACACUUGUAAAAAAUAUAUGUUAUAUUGAGUUUUUUUGUAAUUAUUCAGUUAACUUUUCAACAUCAAGACAUGAGGAAGUUAAAAAAAAAAAUACCAAACAUUUAUUUAUCAGUACCUGUUGUUGCUAUUCAUAUUUUUACUUCCUCCAGUUUUAUUAUAAGUUCUGCCCAAAAAUGUUUAGACUGUAAAAAUGCAUCUAUAGGUAGGUUUGCUCACCGGCUACCACUGUGUGUUCAAGCAUAUGAAGAUUAAAGCAAUGUCUCGCUGAAAAAUAACAAAUUAUAUAGUUAAUUGCAAAACCGACAGUCACAUUACUUUUAAAAACACAUAUUCAGCCUAAUACAACUAAAGAUUUAAAACAAAAUGGCAAAAUAAAAACGAAAUGAUUUAGUAAUAUUACAACAAUUUGGGUCAUCUUAUUAUCAAUGACAUGCAAAAAGCACAUUAUAAAAUUUGACAAGCUUCGAAUUAACGGCCGCCAAAAUUAAAUUUCUAAUGCAGCUUAACAAUAGCAUUAAUUAAAUUAUGAGAUUGCGAUCAUUGUAGUAAAAAGCAAAUAACUACCACAAGUAAGAGUAAUGAAGUUUAUAUGAAAAUUAAAUGAAACAUUUUAAGCAAAUUACACAUUAAGUUAAAGUAUUUGAAUGAUCAGUGGAAAUUGCACUUGCUACGUGAAAAUAUUUUUAAAGGAAUAACAUAUUUGCAAUAAAGUUUUUUGAAAUACAUAAUCCAUUAUCUAAUUUUGUUGUUUCGUACAUUUUCCAUGUAAGUAGGAAAGUAAAAACAAAAAAAAAUAAGUACAAAAAUAACACUGAGACCCUACGUAAAUUGCUUACAUUCCACCAGAAUAAAAAGGAAUCUUUAUACAUACGUGAAUUCGUUGACACAACAUUUUUACAGCAACAGUAAUGACAGUUUCUUAAUUUUGUUACGUUCUUAACGUUAAAUAUAAUGUAAUAUUUGUUAAGGAAGUAAUAAUUAAUAUUUAAAAGUAAGCUAAAUCUACUGUAUGGCAACCUCAUACAACGAACAUGUUGGUUGAAGUAAUGACACAACAAAAUUUUUGUUGCCUUCGCGUCGUCCUUGUGCAGUUAGCGUUAUUUUACAUUUACCGGUUGAGCUGAGCAAAUACGCGUGGCUGUGAUAGUCUUUCCUGUUAUAAACUUUUAUAACUACAAUUAUAAAUAAUUGGGAGCAACAUUUAUUUGACUUGAUAAUUGAUAUGACUGCGCAUUGUUUGAUACUGACAAAAGUACUUCACAUGGAAAAAACAGCAAUCGACAGGAACUUAUUGGCGAAAUAUGUGGAAAAUAUGUGCAGACUCAAGCAAACACGAUAUGCGCUUAUUGCUUAAAAAGUAUCCAAAGAAUUAUAUAUAAUAUAUAUAACUUAUUGGCGAAAUAUGUGGAAAAUAUGUACAGACUCAUGCGCAUUAUUUGAUACUAACAAGUACUUCACAUGGAAAAGGCAACAACCGACAGGAAUUUAUUGGCGAAAUAUGUGCUGACUCAUGCAAGCACGAUACGCGCUUAUUGCUUAAAAUCUAUCCAAAGGAUUAUAUAUUUAUAAUUUUAUUUGAUUGCACUAAGUGCAUAAACAGAUGAUUAUUUAAUUAAUACUUUUAUUAAUUUUUAAACGCAAUGGGAAUUCGUUUCAUAAAAACGCCUUUUU